CGGAGGACUUCAAGGCAGCAGAGCAGGCUCACUCACUCACUGUAAUGUGCACGCAGCUGCAGCACAGCCUCAUUAUACGUAUGUGGAGGCUGGGCUGACUGAACUGUAGGGGGAGCUGCAGAGUCACUUCACCCGGCCAGCUCCUCUCAGGCAGUUCCCAUGGGCCUUUGAGAGUUCAGAGGUCGGGUGAGGAAGUGUUUCUGCAGCAGGUCCGUGUCUGGCAUGCUGGAGGGGGGAUGGCUGAUCGGGCACAUAAAGAUGGGAUCCAGACCCAGCACACAGUCAAGAGCUUUGCCGGUGGUGAGCGAAAACCACACUGUCAGCUCCGAGUCCUGUCCUGCACAAUCACUGAUAGAGACCCACGUGUGACAGACUGAAGAAGUGAGGAGGCACUGUUCAUAUCUGCGUACUUCCACCCCACUGUAUGCUAUUAAUGUUUACCUCCAUUGAUUGCACACCCUGCCGGCAGCAAGCUACACAGUGCACCCCAGAUAGCUGCCUCAGAUGGUUCCUCCGUGGGCAGGGUGUGCUUCAUUUGGAUCUUUCCAUGCAGGGUAUAGCAUACUCCUACACACGUGUCAGUUUUCCCAUACAUGCAUUUGGCCCUUGUAUGGCUCAUCUCCCACAGUGUAACCUUCGUAGUGCGCCCAACAUGGCUGCCUUAUCUGGUGCGCUUGUGGAUGGGAUGAAAAAUAUAUGGACCUGAUGGUUUUGUUGGAACCCUACUCUGAACUUUAGGACUCCGCAAUCUCACCAUUUUAUGUUAUCUCUUCUAGGGGGUGGACUAUUCCACCCUGGGUAAUCCUACGCAGUGCGCCCAAGAUGGCUGCCACAUCUGGUACCUUGUGAGGGUGGAAUACACAACCCUUGGAAGUUAUUACCCAAAAU